rnacentral:sRNA from 1 species
CUCUUCAAUCAAUUGCGGGCAGACGAAGUGGAUGUGGGCGUCGAUAUGGCCGGCGGUGAGGAUCUUGCCCUCGCCGGCGAUGGCCUCGGUGCCGGGGCCGAUGAUGAUGUCCACGCCGUCCUGGGUGUCCGGGUUGCCGGCCUUGCCGAUGGCGUGGAUGCGCCCGGCCCUGAUGCCCACGUCCGCCUUCACGAUCCCCCAGUGGUCGAGGAUGAGGGCGUUGGUGAUGACCAGGUCCACAGCCUCGGCGUUGGUGCGCUGGCUCUGCCCCAUGCCGUCGCG